rnacentral:tRNA from 1 species
CUCGGGAUAGUGAAGUGGUAUCAUGCUAGCCUCAUAAGCUAGAGUUCGUAGGUUCGACUCCUGCUCCCGAAA